rnacentral:tRNA from 1 species
GCGCAUGUGGUGAAAUUGGUAGACACGUCAGACUUAGGAUCUGAUGCCGCGAGGUGUGGGGGUUCGAGUCCCUCCAUGCGCACCC